rnacentral:ncRNA from 2 species
UCGUAUUCAAUGAUGGAUGUAGGUGUAGAGAGAAAGGGCGCACCAGUCAAAAAAAGAGAUUGGCUUUCGUUGUCUGCUGUAACUUUACUCUCUGCCUCUAUUUUCAUGACUGACUAUGAG